ACGAUCACCGUUCUCCUGUCUGCUUGAUAUGAUUGUGAGAAUUGAGGGGAAAGACAAUGCUGUUCGAGUACGUGAGGAAUUGAGAAAGUUCAUCAGCAC